GUUUGCCUGUCGUUGGUUCAGCGA
rnacentral:siRNA from 1 species